GUCUAUGUCCAUGCUACCUUGAACAAGUUGGAUCCUGUUGGAUCUCGGAAGCUAAGCAGGAUCGGUCCUGGUUAGUUCUCGGAUGGGACGAUCAGGUGAUGUAGGUG
rnacentral:rRNA from 1 species